rnacentral:rRNA from 1 species
GACGAACGCUGGCGGCGUGCUUAACACAUGCAAGUCGAACGGAAAGGCUCCAGCUUGCUGGAGUACUCGAGUGGCGAACGGGUGAGUAACACGUGGGUAAUCUGCCCUGCACUCUGGGAUAAGCCUGGGAAACUGGGUCUAAUACUGGAUAUGACCUUUCUCCUUAUGGGGUUUGGUGGAAAGUUUUUCGGUGUAGGAUGAGCCCGCGGCCUAUCAGCUUGUUGGUGGGGUGAUGGCCUACCAAGGCGACGACGGGUAGCCGGCCUGAGAGGGUGAUCGGCCACAUUGGGACUGAGAUACGGCCCAGACUCCUACGGGAGGCAACAGUGGGGAAUAUUGCACAAUGGGCGGAAGCCUGAUGCAGCGACGCCGCGUGAGGGAUGACGGCCUUCGGGUUGUAAACCUCUUUCAGCAGGGACGAAGCGUAAGUGACGGUACCUGCAGAAGAAGCACCGGCUAACUACGU